UGUACCCUUAGCUUAGUUGGUCAGAGCAGACGGCUCGUAACCGUCCGGUCGUAAGUUCGAGUUUUAUAGGAUAAAG
rnacentral:tRNA from 1 species